UGAUGGUCCUUUUGUCCGACUGUUAUUAACCUCUGUUCACCACACCCUGCUAUCACAGAUACCCUACCAUCACUUCCUAGCUGGAUGGUGUGAAUGUGCACCCAUUACUGUAUAAUAUUAUGGUCAUUCUCGUAUUACAAUCUUAUCAGUGUAAAUCUUGUACAUCUUAUUUUUAAGGUAUUGAGUUCCACGGCUUAGAAGCAUAGUUCUCAAAAAGCUGACCUGUCAAUUAUCUUUUGAGGAAGACUGUUUAAAUUUAAGAGGCCGGCAGAAGAAAACCUGAGAGCCCGGCAGGGUUAUAGAACAAGAUUGAUUCUGUGGUGUACUCUGAUCCAGACCAUUGAGAGCUUUAAAAACAGAUUUCCAUGGGACUUAGGGCCCAAUCAAUGGCAGUAAGAACAAGUUAUCGUCAACCCUCGGGGACUGCUACUGCCAAUGCAAAAUAACAAGUUUACAUGCUUUCCAUUGAGAACGUGAAGACUGUAUAUUGCUGACACAAAAACUGGACAAGUGCAAGUGUACAAACAGAUGUACAGGCAGUGCAACAGGACAUUGAAGGCUGGGAAUUAACUGAGCUAUUUUCAGGUCCAACAGUAUGGUAGAUUUUUAAUAGACCAAACCAAAAUGAAGACAAAGAGCAUUCAAGACAAGUGAAGGAGAUGAUAAUAGAG